UUUUUUUUUUUUUUUUUUUUUUUUUUUUU
rnacentral:ribozyme from 5 species